CAAGCCUGAUCCAGCCAUGCCGCGUGGGUGAAGAAGGCCUUCGGGUUGUAAAGCCCUUUUGUUGGGAAAGAAAAGCAGCCGGCCAAUACCCGGUUGUUCUGACGGUACCCAAAGAAUAAGCACCGGCUAACUUCGUGCCAGCAGCCGCGGUAAUACGAAGGGUGCAAGCGUUACUCGGAAUUACUGGGCGUAAAGCGUGCGUAGGUGGUGGUUUAAGUCCGUUGUGAAAUCCCAGAGCUCAACUCUGGAACUGCCUUUGAUACUGGGUGUCUUGAGUAUGGAAGAGGUAAGUGGAAUUCCGAGUGUAGAGGUGAAAUUCGUAGAUAUUCGGAGGAACACCAGUGGCGAAGGCGGCUUACUGGUCCAUUACUGACGCUGAGGUGCGAAAGCGUGGGGAGCAAACA
rnacentral:rRNA from 1 species